UAUUAAUUAAAUUCUAAUCAAAAUUUAGUCAAACCUUGGUCAAAUCCUAGUCAAAGUUUAGUCAAACCUUAAUCAAAUCCUAAAUGGUCUUAACCAAACUUUAGACAAAUUCUAACCAAUUUCUAAAAAAAUCUUAACCAAAUCCUAAUCAAAUUUUAUAAAAAUCCUAGUAAAAUCCUAAAUAAUUUCUAACAAAAUCUUAAAGAAAUCCUAAUUAAAUCUUAAUCAAAUCCUAAAUAAAUCCUAACCAAACUAUAAAUAAAUCAUAAUCAAAAUCUAGAAAAACUCUAAAUAAGUCCUAAUUAAAUCCUAAACAAAUCCUAGUCAAAUUCUAAUCAAAUCCUAAACAAAUAUUAAAUAAAUCCUAAUCUAAACCAAAUCCUAAACCAGACCUUAAAUCCUAACCAAAUUCAAAUCAAUCCUAAAUAAUUCUUACAAUAAAUUUAAACAUCAAUAAUUAAUGAAUGAACCAUUGAUUUUAACUUAAAUUUUGUAUAAAUUUUAAUAAUUAAGU
rnacentral:lncRNA from 1 species